GAUGAAUGCUGGCGGCGUGCCUAACACAUGCAAGUCGAGCGGCAGCGCGAGUAGUUUACUACUUGGCGGCGAGCGGCGGACGGCUGAGUAACGCGUGGGAACGUGCCCCCAAGUGAGGAAUAACUGCCCGAAAGGGUGGCUAAUGCCGCAUAUGAUCUUCGGAUUAAAGGAUUUAUCCGCUUUGGGAGCGGCCCGCGUCGGAUUAGGUUGUUGGUGAGGUAAUGGCUCACCAAGCCGACGAUCCGUAGCUGGUCUGAGAGGAUGAUCAGCCAGACUGGGACUGAGACACGGCCCAGACUCCUACGGGAGGCAGCAGUGAGGAAUCUUCCACAAUGGGCGAAAGCCUGAUGGAGCAACGCCGCGUGAAGGAUGAAGGCCCUCGGGUUGUAAACUUCUUUUAUAAGUGAAGAAUAUGACGGUAACUUAUGAAUAAGCACCGGCUAACUACGUGCCAGCAGCCGCGGUAAGAC
rnacentral:rRNA from 1 species